rnacentral:rRNA from 1 species
UUGAUCCUGGCUCAGGAUGAACGCUAGCGGCAGGCUUAACACAUGCAAGUCGAGGGGUAUAGUUCUUCGGAACUAGAGACCGGCGCACGGGUGCGUAACGCGUAUGCAAUCUACCUUUUACAGAGGGAUAGCCCAGAGAAAUUUGGAUUAAUACCUCAUAGCAUAGCAGUUUCGCAUGAAACCACUAUUAAAGUCACAACGGUAAAAGAUGAGCAUGCGUCCCAUUAGCUAGUUGGUAAGGUAACGGCUUACCAAGGCUACGAUGGGUAGGGGUCCUGAGAGGGAGAUCCCCCACACUGGUACUGAGACACGGACCAGACUCCUACGGGAGGCAGCAGUGAGGAAUAUUGGACAAUGGGCGCAAGCCUGAUCCAGCCAUGCCGCGUGCAGGAUGACGGUCCUAUGGAUUGUAAACUGCUUUUGUACGAGAAGAAACACUUCUA